CCAUUACUUAGUUGGUAAAGAACAAAGCUCUUAACCUUGUGGACGUGGGUUCAAGCCCCAUGAUGGG
rnacentral:tRNA from 1 species